rnacentral:rRNA from 1 species
GACAUACCUAUGGUGUAUCAGUUGUCUUGCCAAAGGCAUCGCUGAGUAGCUACGUAUGGAAGGGAUAACCGCUGAAAGCAUCUAAGUGGGAAGCCUACCUUAAGAUUAAUUUUCCCUAUCAGGGUCGUAGUAGACUACUACGUUGAUAGGUUGGAUGUGUAAGUGGAGCAAUCCAUUGAGCUAACCAAUACUAAUAACCCGAUUGAUUUCUUGUA